rnacentral:misc_RNA from 1 species
AAGAUGAAGGCGGUGCACCGCUUCUUCGAGGAAGGCGACAAGGUGAAGGUCACCCUGCGCUUCCGCGGUCGCGAGAUGGCCCACCAGGACAUCGGUCUGCGUCUGCUCGAGCGGGUCAAGGUCGAGACGGCCGAGAUCGCGAAGGUCGAGAGCGAGCCGAUGCUCGAAGGCCGCCAGAUGAUCAUGAUCCUGGCACCCCGCUAAAAGAGAUUCGUCCGGCCCGGUCGGACCAAUGCGCUGUCCCUGAAAGGGGGCGGCGCAUUUUUUAUGUCUCGCGACACCCCGUCAUUCCGGGGU